AUGUCUCCCGUUCUCCAGGCUUCUCUAGGGUCCCGGCCAGAAGAGGAGACUGUCCCCAUGUCACCACUCAGAGCUUUGCCCCAGUGCCUGCUCCUGAUGGCUGAGAUCCAGAAAGCUGUGACUCUGGCGAACUUCCUGGGGACACGGGCAACACCAGGGCCAGAUACCUGCGGGCCAGGAAGCAGUCGUCAUGGCCUGACACCAAGUGCCACAUGGGGCCAGGUGGGCAAGAAUCUGCCUACUGACUCACCCAACCAGCCAAUGUUGCCAGCCAGACAGCGGCACCCCCUGCCACCUUGGCUGCAGGAGCAAAGGCAGACUUUCCUACAUGUCCUCAGGCAUCUGUCACUUUCAGAAACCAUCAGUCAGGCUUUGCCAGCAGUCCUGGACACAGAAGGUGGGUUGCGAAGACCCAAGGAACACAUGUUCAUUGCUGAUUCUUUUUUUUUUUUUUUUUGUCUUUUUUAGGGCUUCACCUAUGGCAUAUGGAAGUUCCUGGGCUAGGGUUCAAAUCAGAGCUGCAGCUGCCAGCCUACGCCACAGCCACAGCAACGCAGGAUCUGAGCUGAGUCUGUGACCUACACCACAGCUCACCGCAACCCCGCAUCCUUAACCCAACCGCAACCUCAUGGAUACUAGCUGGGUUCUUUACUGCUGAGGCACAGCAAGAAUGCCUCAUUGCUGUUGUUUUGAGAACCAGCUGAGCUUGUGUGGCUCAGCCCCCUCCCCCGGGUUGCUGGCUGGAUGGGACUCUGGGUGGGUAGUGUAUGCUGAGACUGUGACCUGAAGCCACACCUACCCAGCUCCAGGGACCAGCUCCGUCCCACAGUUGGGGGACAUUCUUUCCUAUGGGGAGCCCAGAAUUUUCCUGGGCAUCUCCAUGGGCCUGCUGGUACUUGUGUCAUUUCUGCUCCCACAUUGUAAACUUUCACAGUCAAACAUUUGCUGGAGCCCCUGGGGCUCCCUGCCUAAGCCUUCGCUGAAGCAAAAACAUCCAGGACAGCAUUGAUUUGAGGUUCUAGUUCACGUUUUUUCUAAUAAAUGUUAAAACAAAAACAUAACUAUUAAAAUAAAACAUGCUUGUCUAGAGUUCCCACUGUGGAACAGUGGAAUAGGCAGUGUCUCUGUAGCUCCAGGACGCAGGUUCCAU
rnacentral:lncRNA from 9 species